UACGUAGGGUGCAAGCGUUGCUCGGAAUUAUUGGGCGUAAAGGGUAGGUAGGUGGUGACAUUUGUCUGGGUGAAAUCCCUGAGCUUAACUCAGGAAGUGCCUUGGAAACGGUGUCACUAGAGUGCUGGAGAGGUUCGCAGAAUUUUUGGUGUAGCGGUGAAAUGCGUAGAGAUCAAGAGGAAUACCAGGAGGCGAAGGCGGCGAACUGGACAGUUACUGACACUGAACUACGAAAGCGUGGGAGCAAACAGG
rnacentral:rRNA from 1 species